AUAGGCCCAAUUCAGAUCUUCCACUUGAUUCCAAUACUCCUUAGCCUAACUCGCCUGACCCACUACCCUCCAACCCAUAACCCAUUAGCCCUAUUAGAUGAAAUAAUCCCAACCAUCCCCUCUUCUUCUUGGACCAAGACUACACCACAAAACCCUAACACCAUAAGAGUUCAGCUGCCGCCCAACACCAGCAGCCAGCCUCGCCAGCCGUCCGCCGCCGCCAGCCAUACUUUUUCAUCUCAAAUCUGCCGCUCCAUCUUAGAAAUCAGUCGCCGUUUCCCCUCAAGAACUCCUCAGCGCUGGAGAUACCAUAAACCCGCUGCCCUAGCCCGUUCGCCUCAAUCCAGCUCGCCGGAAAAUGCCUUUCAUCAGCGACCAUCUGCUUCUUCACCUCACACCCAAACAUUCACCAGCUCCACAUGCAGUAGCCGGGCCUCAUCCACAGAAAACACACACACACACAUAUAGAGCAGUAGGGGGACGGACAAAAAGGGGAGGAGAGUCAGUCCAUAAAGCUCCAUUGAAAUCAUCUCUUGAAACUCCAUGAAAGUUUACUAAAGAACAGCCCAAAAAUACCAAAACAGAUCCAACAUCAGUCAUCGAGCAAAGAAGUUCGAACGAUUUGCAGUUCCGUUGAGGUCACCGUAUCCCUGUCUACUGUUCCGAUUGUGGUCAUUUUCCGUUUUGUCUUCUGAGUUGCAGCUUCGAAUUCAAUAAAAGCUCGAGCAUGAUUGAUACCCUAGGACCAUUGCAUUCAAGAGCUGCUUAAGGAGCCUUUGCAUUCAAGAGCUUAAGUCUGUUUUCAUGUUUUCUAUUACUUGUCUUGUACAGUAGUAUUCAAUCAUUUAGUUGGUGUCAGAGUUGUCGUAGUAUAGUUUAGUUUGCCGAGUCUCUCAUUAUCGUACCUCCUGUUUUGUAUUUGAAAAACCAAAAAAAAGGUUAUAAAUGAAAAAUUCAAAAAACAUUUUUGUUUCUUAA